GACGAACGCUGGCGGCGUGCUUAACACAUGCAAGUCGAACGGAAAGGCCCUGCUUUUGUGGGGUGCUCGAGUGGCGAACGGGUGAGUAACACGUGAGUAACCUGCCCUUGACUUUGGGAUAACUUCAGGAAACUGGGGCUAAUACCGGAUAGGAGCUCCUGCUGCAUGGUGGGGGUUGGAAAGUUUCGGCGGUUGGGGAUGGACUCGCGGCUUAUCAGCUUGUUGGUGGGGUAGUGGCUUACCAAGGCUUUGACGGGUAGCCGGCCUGAGAGGGUGACCGGCCACAUUGGGACUGAGAUACGGCCCAGACUCCUACGGGAGGCAGCAGUGGGGAAUAUUGCUCAAUGGGCGGAAGCCUGAUGCAGCAACGCCGCGUGCGGGAUGACGGCCUUCGGGUUGUAAACCGCUUUCGCCUGUGACGAAGCGUGAGUGGCGGUAAUGGGUAAAGAAGCACCGGCUAACUACGUG
rnacentral:rRNA from 1 species